rfam:Gossypium raimondii chromosome 4, whole genome shotgun sequence.
AACCCAUGGUGGGGGCACAUUCUCAAUAAAUCCUUGUACCUCUCCCAUGCAUCAUAUAGAGUCUCUAAAUCAAUCUGGACAAAGAAAGAGAUAUCAUUCCUCAACUU